GACGAACGCUGGCGGCGUGCCUAAUACAUGCAAGUCGAACGCAGUGGGGACGGGUGAGUAACACGUGGGUAACCUCCCAUCAGAGGGGAUAACACUUGGAAACAGGUGCUAAACCGCUACCGAUGGCUGAAUCCGCGGUGCAUUAGCUAGGUGGUGAGGUAACGGCCCACCAAGGCCACGAUGCAUAGCCGACCUGAGAGGGUGUGCGGCCACACUGGGACUGAGACACGGCCCAGACUCCUACGGGAGGCAGCAGUAGGGAAGCUUCGGCAAUGGACGAAAGUCUGCCCGAGCAACGCCGCGUGAGUGAAGAAGGUUUUCGGAUCGUAAAGCUCUGUUGUUAGAGAGGCGGUAUCUAACCAGAAAGCCACGGCUAACUACGUGCCAGCAGCCGCGGUAAUUC
rnacentral:rRNA from 1 species